UAGAGAGCAUGAGGCGUGAAUGCCUCGAAUGAGCUCUGUGACGCGUGUGGCUCUCUCUCUCUCUCUCCUCUCAUCCAUCACUCUCACUUAUUCAAACCCAAAACAAUCUCACUUUACUCUAUUCAAACCCAAAUAUCGGAUUCCUUCUCUUUCUUUCUCUCUCUAUCUCUACUCUAUUGAAACCCAAACACUGUUUCGGUCUAGCAAACAAGAGCAAAAUUAGCCAACCCAUCGGCAGCAGUGGAGGGCUUCCGGUGUUUUCCGGCUUCCCUUCUUUGCAUUGACAUGUUGCAAAGUUACCCAAGCCCUAGAUCUCAAAAUCUCCUCCAUUGACAACCGAGAAAAGGGUGGCUUUACUUGGAAUUCUUUCCAUAUUGGCUUAACUGCACUUUCAUGUGAGAAGUGCAUCUUUCUAUAAUACAUACAAAUGUCAAACAAAUGCUGAUACAACGAGGUCAAACAAAUGCUGAUACAUGCCAACAAGAAUAUGGAAAUUUCAAAAAAUAGGAUUUAAAAGUUCUGUUUAAUCAAACUCUUUUUUCUUUGGUUUUAAAUUUCUAGAUGGCCACUACACUUGAACCAAAUUAAAAAUACUUGAUGAAUGUUCAAUCUGGUAGCCCAUCAUUGGUUUUUGUUUAAUGUUCGAACAGUUUAAUUUUUGUUCAAUGGAUAAGAGAUUUUCAUUGUAGACAAGUUGGCAAUCAUCCUGUUUGUUUUGGCAAGGUGUGGCAGCUCCAUAACUAUUUGGAAGAUGGCCAAAUUGGGUGAGUAAUGAUUUCAUUUGAAUUUUCAAAAUGGAGAUUAUUAUUUACACUCCUCACUGGCUAUUCACACCCCAUAUUGUUUUUUGGCUAAAAGCAAAAUUUAAGGAUAGAAAGCAAAAGUAGAGUGUGAAUAGUAAUUUUCUUAAAAAUUUAAGUGCUAAAUUUGUUGACUAAUCUUUUUUAAUCAUUAUUAUUCAUCAUUUUAGUGGAGUUAAAAGUCUAAUUUGCCUUGGCGCAGUGGCAAUAUAGGUGUUACAUUGGAGUCUCAUCAAUUAUAAAUAAAAACUUUAUAAUACACUUCAGUGAGUUAUCUUCAUUGUGGCAAGUGCAAGAGGAAGAUUGUCACAACCCAACCCAACCUGCCUCUAUAGGUUUAGCGUUGUAACCGGCCAGUAAUCCUAGGAUUACCAAAGGCCUCUUAACAUAAUAAUGUACAAUUAGGGGUUGUAGAAGCAAAUACAUAAAAUGUACAUAGUCCACCGAGCUAUGAAGACAUACAUUGGAUAGAAAAUUUUAAACUUUUAUAAACAUAUGAGUGAUGUCAAAAGAUACAGUAUUUACACGUCACUUCAUGUACAAAAAAACAGAGAAACUUGUUCAUAGAGCAAAAGAAACAAAGUCUUAUACAUUCAUAACAACAUAGCCACUAGACUUGACUUGAUCCGGAACCUCCUCGGGAGGCGCAAAGGUUGGCUGACAAAAACUAAGACGCUAGGUCCUCAACUCUGAGCCUGGUCAUGUGCCUGAUUACCUACAUACAUAAUUUAAAUAGUGAGCGGGAGCCCAAUGAAUAAUAACAGAGUAAAGGGUUAAAUGAAUGAUGUCCCAUGACUAUGGUAGUUCACAUUCGUAUUCUUAUUCAAAUCAUAUACAGAAUUUAGAAUUCAUGCUUGAUCAUACAUGGCUUAUCUGUUAACGUUAACAGAUCAUAUACAGAGCAUCAUAGAUUAUACUUGUCAGUUUCAUAGAGGAACCUUCAGCCGAGUACGGAUAACUUGUCAGUUCCAUAAAGGAACCUCCAGACUGGGAACAGAUAACUUGUCAGUUUCAUAAGGGAACUUCCAGCCAGGUACAGAUAACUUGUCAAUUCCAUAAGGAACCUUCAAUCCAGGUACAGACAGCAUACUUGGAUCAUAGCAUAAUAUCGCAAACAUUUAUUAGAGUUGAACAAUCAUUCAUAGUACAAAACAUGGCAUCUCAUAGAACAAAUCUUAUUCCAUAUACAGAAAAUAAUUUAACUUAAACAUAACUUUACUAAGUUAUUACACACAGAUAACAGAUAACUCCAAGUAACGGACAGAGUAGGCAAUUCAGAUAUCUUGUGGCACGUGACCUACACAAAUACAGAACGAAUACGUACUGAAUAACACACUCGAAAUCAUUAACUUAGUUCUUUCUUGUCUUAGGGUGUUUCUACUUCUUUAUCCUCAUUAUGGUGUUUUAAUCUUGGUCUGGGAAUGCCUAUGAUGGAAAGAGGAUGCAAAAAUGCACUUGAAAACACUUAACAAAAAGUGUUGAAAACAGAGUCCUCGAUCGAGCGUGACUUCCUAUGCUCGAGUGGACAUGUAAAAUGUGAGUGGUCGCUCGAGUGCAAAAUCGGUCACUCGAGCGAUCUGUAAACUUUUGCAAAAAUGCUGGUUGCUUGAUUUUGCCGUUCAACGCUUGUUCAAGCGUAAGAGACAUGCCCUUGUUCGAGCGCAACUUUUGUCACUCGAGCAUGCUGCAAAACAUAAGAACUUCUGGAAGCUUGCAUUUCACGCUCGAGCAGACUUCUGGUUGCUCGAGCGGAAGUGCACACUCUCAGAGUGGUCGCUCGAGCGUAAAUUUCUACGCUCAAGCGUAGGAGCAAAAUUAUGAAAUUUCCAGAAUUGCUUCCAAGUUACAAAUCUUGAUUUUAACACUUUAAAACUCAUCAUUUGGACCAAAAACUUGAGGAAACUUGUCUAAACUUGAAAAACAUUGAGAAUUAAAGGUCAUUUCAUGAAAUCAAGGUCCAUAAGCUUGACGAUUGAGCAAAAUUCAAACUUGAAUUUUAAAAACAUGACAUGAAUAUGACAUGCAUGAAGUGAUUUGAGCUUCAAGUUUUCAAAUCAUGAGCAAAUGAGAUGUUUGGGUCAAAGACAUGUUGAGUUCCUUGAACAAAACCCAAGUAUAGACAUGCAUGUGGAGACUCUUGAAAAUUAGCUUAUCAUAUUAUGAGAAUUAUGCAUGCAUGCAUGAUAUACUCCAAAAAUCAACUAUCUAAGCUUAAUUCCUACCUUCCUAUAGGAUUUCUUUUAAAUUCAUGAGUUGGCUAACUUAAUUAUAUUAUCAAAAGCUUGAGUUCUCACCUAAACUUCUCAAUUGAGCUUCAAGUAGACUAAUUCUUGAGUAAUCAAGCUAAUCCUCCAUAGUUUUCUUCAAUUCUCAAGUAAGUCCCACUUUGGUUGAAUUCAAGUUUACCUUCCUCUCCCUCUCUCUCACAUUUGUGUGUGUGAGUAAACUCAAAACUGUGUUGAAAAUGAAAGAAAGAGAUGAGUGGAGCAUGUAGGGAGUCUUAUAUAAGUUCACUUGGUGAUAAUUAAUUAAAGUUAAUUAAAUGGGCAUUAAAUUAAUCUAAUUUAAUCAUUCUGAAUCAAAUUUCAAUUAAACCUACCAUAAAAUUCUAAAAAAUUCUAAUUAACUAAAAAAUCAAGUCAAUUUCUGAAUCGGAUGCCGACAAGGCCUUCAAUUCACAAACCGAAACAUGAGCAGAUCUUUUUACGUUAAACAGAUAUAAACACAAAUAAUGCAAUGCACAUGUAAUUAACUCAGAAUUUCUUUUCAAAAUUACUUGUUAGGCAUACUUAAGCAUGGAUUAACGUUAAUCAUAGGUCGGGGUUGUUACAAAGAUAAAGAUUCUCAUGGUAAUAUAUCAGAACAUGAACACCCACGUGACAAAUUGAUGAAGAACAAUUGUGGAAUGACCUUCAGCCCAACAAUAGUGUCUCUAGUAUCAGCACCAUCAUCAUCAUCACAAUUGUUAUUAAGAUUUUCUUUAACUUGGAUUUUAAUUGUUGGUUUGGAUAGUGUAUGUAUUUGUUGGAUUAUACUAUGUUUAUAGAUUCUGAUUUUCUUUGAUAUGUACGGUUAAUAGUUAAGUUCUGUAUGUGGUUGAAAAUUGAAUGGUACAAGUUGUGAAGAAAUUUUUUUAUUAAAUGGUUGAGAAUUGAAUGAAUGAAUGAAUGGAUGAAUAAAUUUGUAUAUGCACAUGUUAUAAGUGCUGUAAAAAAUAUUAACAAAUUAUAAAAACUAAAUGAGACAUUUUGGUGACUAAACAAAUAUCAUAGGUUGGCUUUUUGCUACCAAAACUUUAGUCGCCAAUUGUAAAAAAGUGAAACUUUUGGCUUCUAAACUGUUAGUCAUCAAUUGUAAAAAAAAAAUUUUUGGUUACUAAAUUUUUAGCUGCCAAUUCUCAAAAAGUAAAACUUUUGACUACCAAAUAAUUAGUCGCCAAACAUACAUACUUAAUUGGCUAUUAAAUAAUUUAGUCGCUAAAAGUAAAAAAAUAUAUAUAUUUAAUUAUUUUUUAAAAAAAUAUGGCGACUAAAGUUUUAGUCACCAAUAGGCUACUUUUGGCUACCAAACAGAUUUUAGUCACUGAUUGUUUCCCCGACAAACUAUUGGCGACCAAAUGAGCGACCAAAUAUGUUAGUCGGCAAAAGUGAUUGGCGAUUAAAAACAUGACUUUUGGUGACUAAAAUUUUGAUCGCCAAAAGUAAAAUUUCUUGUAAUGAACCUACAAACAAACAAAUAAAACAAAAUAAUAAUAAAUGAAUAAAAUAUAACAUUAUAUAUAUAAUUAAGUUAGAGGCGUGGGAGGCAUGGUUGUGCACAGUUUAAUACUUUGCACUUUUUUAAUAUAAUAAUAUAUAUAAUAUUUAAAAUAUAUUAUUUACAUUAAUUUCUGUACGAACCCUCAAAAUAUAUAUAUCUAUAUAAUAAGGGAAGAGAUUUUUUGAAAAUGUAUAAAAAUGUCUCAGAGAUAUAUUUUAAUCCAAUGACUGAGAUUAAUCCCAAAUUUAUUUCAAUGGUUGAGAUCAAUAGAUCUCCCGCCCAAAGACUUCUCUGCCUAAAGCAUGUUAUCUCUUUCCCACCUACCCACCUUCCCUCUCUAUCUCUCUCUCCCUCUGUGUUCUUCUUCUUGAAUACAUCUCUUUCACAUAUACAUCUCUCUCUUCCUCCUAUCUCUUUCAUACGCUACUCUCUCUUCUCUUGCGAUGACCACCGACCACCUCUCCUCUCCCUCGCCGGAGACCCAAACUCGAACCCUCUAUUCCUGUCUUCCUCCCUUCAUCUCCCGCUCCUUCACCCCUCUUUCCCCAUUUUAGGCCUUUGUUUUGCAACAAACCCAUACCUUCUUCGAUUCAGUGAGAGGAGAGACAGAGGAGGGCAUCGUCGUCCCCCGUCGUCCCUUGCCGACGCCCUAUCCCGCCAUCGCCGACAAGAAGGUUCGACAUACAUGAGAAUAUUGGAAUUGAGCAAAGGUGCAAAGGUGCAGAAAUUGAGGAUUUGGUGGUGGCUUUACUUGGCCUCUGCAAUCUUCUGACGAAGGAAGGAAAAGCUAUGGAUGCUGAAAAUCCCUUUAUUAGAUUUCUUGACAUAUAUGCAAAGUUGUACGGGGAGAAUAAUGGAAGAGUUUUUGAAUGGCUAUGUGUUUGUUGGCCCAUGUGAAAUGUGCAUAAGGUGAACUUCGCAUUCUUCAUUGUAUGCAAGUAGUUUUCUUCCUAAUUUCAUUUAAAUUAGUAGGAUCAUGUUAACACCAGUACUUGUGUGGGGUCAAAAAGUUGCUCAUUCUACUAUGAGUGGAUUGCGGUGAACUUUAAAUUUAAAAGUUCAUUCAUAGAUGGAGAUCUAUUUCAAGUUUUUUAGUGUGGGGUCAUGUGCCAUUUUCAUACAGGGAAUGCUAAUGAAGGCAGUCAAUUAUAUAGAAAUGCUCUUCAGGUCCUUACAGAUUCAAAAUGUAUGCCUUUGGAUGACAACGUAAUGGAAAAAAUGAUAGAUUUACCAGAAUUGCUGCAUUUAGUGGGAAGGUAUGGUUUGGCUGAUGGGUUGUUCAUUAUAUAUAUAGGUCGAAGUACAACAGUUAUGGACAAUAUCACCAUUUUUGGACAAGUGGAUGAAGACUUACACUGAACGGUAAUAUCAAGAAAGAAAUGAUUUUUUUUCUUAUUUAUCUGUACAAAGUUUUAUUUAUCACUCUAAAGUUUUUGUAUAUAUAGAUUCAAUUUCUUCAACAAAGAAAUGUUAAUAUUGUUCACGAUGAACGUGACCUUAAUAUUA